AGAGCUUGCUCCUUAUGAAGUUAGCGGCGGACGGGUGAGUAACACGUGGGUAACCUGCCCAUAAGACUGGGAUAACUCCGGGAAACCGGGGCUAAUACCGGAUAACAUUUUGAACCGCAUGGUUCGAAAUUGAAAGGCGGCUUCGGCUGUCACUUAUGGAUGGACCCGCGUCGCAUUAGCUAGUUGGUGAGGUAACGGCUCACCAAGGCAACGAUGCGUAGCCGACCUGAGAGGGUGAUCGGCCACACUGGGACUGAGACACGGCCCAGACUCCUACGGGAGGCAGCAGUAGGGAAUCUUCCGCAAUGGACGAAAGUCUGACGGAGCAACGCCGCGUGAGUGAUGAAGGCUUUCGGGUCGUAAAACUCUGUUGUUAGGGAAGAACAAGUGCUAGUUGAAUAAGCUGGCACCUUGACGGUACCUAACCAGAAAGCCACGGCUAACUACGUGCCAGCAGCCGCGGUAAUACGUAGGUGGCAAGCGUUAUCCGGAAUUAUUGGGCGUAAAGCGCGCGCAGGUGGUUUCUUAAGUCUGAUGUGAAAGCCCACGGCUCAACCGUGGAGGGUCAUUGGAAACUGGGAGACUUGAGUGCAGAAGAGGAAAGUGGAAUUCCAUGUGUAGCGGUGAAAUGCGUAGAGAUAUGGAGGAACACCAGUGGCGAAGGCGACUCUCUGGUCUGUAACUG
rnacentral:rRNA from 1 species